rnacentral:rRNA from 1 species
AUUGAACGCUGGCGGCAUGCCUUACACAUGCAAGUCGAACGGCAGCACGGGAGCAAUCCUGGUGGCGAGUGGCGAACGGGUGAGUAAUAUAUCGGAACGUGCCCAGUAGUGGGGGAUAACUGCUCGAAAGAGCAGCUAAUACCGCAUACGACCUGAGGGGGAAAGGGGGGGAUCGCAAGACCUCUCGCUAUUGGAGCGGCCGAUAUCAGAUUAGCUAGUUGGGGGGGUAAAGGCCUACCAAGGAAACGAUCUGUAGUUGGUCUGAGAGGACGACCAGCCACACUGGGACUGAGACACGGCCUAGACUCCUACGGGAUGCAGCAGUGGGGAAUUUUGGACAAUGGGCGCAAGCCUGAUCCAGCAAUGCCGCGUGCAGGAAGAAGGCCUUCGGGUUGUAAACUGCUUUUGUCAGGGAAGAAAUCCUCUAGGUUAAUACCCUUGGGGGGAUGACGGUACCUGAAGAAUAGGCACCGGCUAACUACGUGCCAGCCGCCGCGGUAACAC